GGCGAACGGGUGAGUAAUACAUCGGAACGUGCCCGAUCGUGGGGGAUAACGGAGCGAAAGCUUUGCUAAUACCGCAUACGAUCUACGGAUGAAAGCAGGGGACCGCAAGGCCUUGCGCGGACGGAGCGGCCGAUGGCAGAUUAGGUAGUUGGUGGGAUAAAAGCUUACCAAGCCGACGAUCUGUAGCUGGUCUGAGAGGACGACCAGCCACACUGGGACUGAGACACGGCCCAGACUCCUACGGGAGGCAGCAGUGGGGAAUUUUGGACAAUGGGCGAAAGCCUGAUCCAGCCAUGCCGCGUGCAGGAUGAAGGCCUUCGGGUUGUAAACUGCUUUUGUACGGAACGAAAAGACUCCUUCUAAUAAAGGGGGUCCAUGACGGUACCGUAAGAAUAAGCACCGGCUAACUACGUGCCAGCAGCCGCGGUAAUACGUAGGGUGCAAGCGUUAAUCGGAAUUACUGGGCGUAAAGCGUGCGCAGGCGGUUAUAUAAGACAGAUGUGAAAUCCCCGGGCUCAACCUGGGAACU
rnacentral:rRNA from 1 species